CUGCUCACUUUGGCAGCACAUAUACUAAAAUUGGAACGAUACAUGGCCCCUGCGAAAGGGUGACAAGCAAAUUUGUGAGCAUUCCAUACUGAUU
rnacentral:snRNA from 1 species